rnacentral:rRNA from 1 species
AACGAACGCUGGCGGCAGGCUUAACACAUGCAAGUCGAACGGUUGUAGCAAUACAGCAGUGGCAGACGGGUGAGUAACACGUGGGAACCUUCCUAGAGGUACGGAACAACGCAGGGAAACUUGCGCUAAUACCGUAUACGCUCGUGAGAGGAAAGAUUUAUCGCCUUUAGACGGGCCCGCGUCGGAUUAGGUAGUUGGUGGGGUAACGGCCUACCAAGCCUACGAUCCGUAGCUGAUCUGAGAGGAUGAUCAGCCACACUGGGACUGAGACACGGCCCAGACUCCUACGGGAGGCAGCAGUGGGGAAUCUUGGACAAUGGGCGCAAGCCUGAUCCAGCCAUGCCGCGUGAGUGAAGAAGGCCUUAGGGUUGUAAAGCUCUUUUGCCAGGGACGAUAAUGACGGUACCUGGAGAAUAAGCCCCGGCAAACUUCGUGCCAGCCGCCGCAGUAAU